GACGAACGCUGGCGGCGUGCCUAAUACAUGCAAGUCGAACGCAGUGGGGACGGGUGAGUAACACGUGGGUAACCUCCCAUCAGAGGGGAUAAAACUUGGAAACUGGUGCUAAACCGAUACUGAUGGAUGGACCAGCGGUGCAUUAGCUAGUGGGUGAGGUAACGGCUCACCAAGGCCACGAUGCAUAGCCGGCCUGAGAGGGUGAUCGGCCACACUGGGACUGAGACACGGCCCAGACUCCUACGGGAGGCAGCAGUGGGGAAUCUUCGGCAAUGGACGAAAGUCUGAUCGAGCAAUGCCGCGUGAAUGAAGAAGGUUUUCGGAUUGUAAAGCUCUUUCAGUAGAGAAGCGGUAUCUAACCAGGAAGCCACGGCUAACUCCGUGCCAGCCGCCGCGGUAAUUC
rnacentral:rRNA from 1 species